rnacentral:lncRNA from 1 species
UGUUGCAAUAUAAUUGGACCUAAUUAAAUUAUGAAUCAAGUCUUAAUUAAUUUAAAUUAGAUUUAAUUAAAUUAAAUUUGAUUUAAUUUAAGGUAAAUUAAGUUUAAUUAUCUAAGUAAGACUUAAAUUUCAAUCCGGAUUGGAUCAGAUUUGACAGCUUUUUCGAAUUAAAUUUGAAUCAGGCUCGAAUUAGAUUCAAAUCAAACCCAAACUAGAACUAAAUUAGAUUAGGUGCCUAAGUCCAUGGUUGACUAGGCUUCUUUCUCUAUUUGGCACAAAAUUUUUGAAAUGAAACUAGUGGGGUGCAUGCCACCUCUAGAUG